AACAAGGCAAGCAGGAUGGAAGUGAGGGAUGCCAAUGCUGCAAUGCUGAGCAAUUAUGAGGUCUAUCAGCUCCUGACAGACCUGAAAGAAAAAAGAAAGGAGACCGUUAAAAAUAAGCACAGCGCCGGGCAGCAGAAUCUCAACACCAUCAUGUAUGAGACCCUGAAGUACCUCUCCAAUACGCCGUGUGUUCAUCAGAAUCCAGAGAAUGUGAAGGAGUUCCUCGCUGCCAUGCUGCCUCACAAGCUCACUAAAGCUGAAAAGCUGCAGCUCCUUAACCACAGACCCCAGACUGCUGUUGAGAUCCAACUGAUGGUAGAAGAGAGUGAAGAAAGACUGACAGAAGAACAGAUUGAUGAACUGAUACAGAAAGUCACAGACAUCCUGCCUGGUGACCCUCAGAAAGAAGACGGUGAAUCUGCCGACCCUGUGAUGGAGACAGACCAGUAGCAUCAGCCCAUCAGCAGAUUUUUUUUUUUUUUUUUUUUUUUUUAAAUGCUUUCAUUCCCAAACACAAGAAACUGAUUUCAGAUUUGUUGACAGUGCUAAUACUUUAGUAUACUUUUGAUCUUCAUUAUAUUAUUAUAAAAUAUAUUCUCUUUAGAACAUAUUAAUGAAAAUGUCAGGCAUAGGUAAAUUUAGAGCCAAAAGUGAUGUCUAUAAAAGUGUGUAUUUAUUUAACCUAUUGUAUAUAUUGUACAGGCUCAUGAUAAAAACAAAAAACCACAUCUUUGUCAGCAUUUUUUUUUCUUCUUUUUUUUCAAACCCAUUUGUAGUUGCAUUGAUCUUUCAGAGGGGAAGUAUGUAAUCUUUAGGAGUCAAGACAAUCUCACUUCCUCCUUAAAAUCCUUCCUGUAUUGUUUCUCUUCAAUUUGGUUUAUUAUUAUAAUGUAUUAUUGACCAUUUAAGGUGCGAACUGAGAGAGAUUUAAGUGAUUUAUCAUUUGUCAGUCUCUACUAACCUGUGUGAAUAUGAGAUAUCUGCAUGACUGCUUCAAAUUUCUACUAAGCUCUUAUAACAAGACUUUUAUCCAUAAAGUUGCUUAAUGUGAUGCUUUUGUAAUUCAAUUGUCUCAAAAUCGAAUCGUAAAUAGACGUUUUUAUCGUCUAUUUGAUCGUAAAUAGACUCAUUUCAGCCCCUCACAAACAACAGGAGGACAGUGAACUUGCAGUUCGUUAUUUUUUAAUAACUCUGACGACCAUAUGUAUGAUUUUAUUGACUGAAAUAUAUAUUUUCAUUGACAUAAUUCCACUGAGGAGAAAAGAGACUGAUAAACGUCGACAGGAGUUUGAUUUAUGACAGCAAUGCCAUGUCAUACAGAGAAAGCCAAUGAAAACAUUCUUAUUGGCAAUAGACGUUUGCUGUAACCAAUGAAAUUUGAGAGUUGCUCUGUAGCGCUGUGGUAACUGGUAUGAAUUUAAAACCUCUACACUUGUAAAUCAGGUUUUCGCUGGAAUCGAACUCGUUUGACAGUGAAUCACUCCUCACAUUGAUGCAUGAGAAAUGUGUUCGCGGUGUGAGACUGUCUCUCUCAACGUCAGAGCUUCCUAGCUCCCUUCACACGAUCUUCACGUCUGCAUUUCAUCAGAGAGACGUGAUUCUGGAGAAUGUAGGAUUCGAGGAGUUGUACUUUCUGUACGGGUGGAGCUGUCAACUGAUCAAGUAGUCAAGCCGGUGAAUACGGAAGCUCUGUCUAAAUGGGUGGGCAAGAUCCCUGCUGAUGUGGUGAAUGAUAUGGCCAACCUUGCCCCCAUGUUAAGUCGCUUAGGUUAUGACCCUCUGGCUAACCCGCCAAAUUACAACAAGCCUGAUUUCUUAUUUCUGAACAACACAAAAAUAGUGAAGUUAGUCCAAAAUUAAAAGGCCACCUGUGGAUACAACCUGGGAAUACUUGGAAGCAAUAAACAUUGUGCAUUUUAUGAGCACACAAAGCCUCUACUUGAAUUAACAACAUGUAGGAUGACAAAACAGAGCCACAAGCCCUAUUGUUGCUUAUGGCAAGAGUUUCAUAAAGUGAUCAAAUGUUUUAAAAUCUAGUUUUAAUGAUGUAUUGUAAGUUGUUUUUCAAUUAAAUUCACUUUAGAUGUUUUUUGUAUAGAUGAUGCUAUGGUGUUGCUAAUAAUGUCAGUCUAACGACUGUAUCGUGGUUGUCUUUUUAUUAUUUUUGUAAGUGCUAAUGCAUGCGUGUCUUUGCAAAUGUGUCCAAAUGAGUCUGAUUAUCACACAGGAAACUAUGCCUGUUGAAAGAGGAAGUCAACUGUUACACAGAAUUACCACUUUUUGUUUUGUUCUCUUUGGACUGUAGGAGUACAAAGGAAGUUUAGACAUGUUUCUCAAGUUAAGCUUUCAAAGACAAUCUCAUUUUGCUGUAUGGCUUUUAUUAUGAAUAUAUGACUUGCAUAAUGAUAAAUGUGGUCCAGAUAUGUAAGUGUGUAUCUGCAGGUCAGAGUAAUGAGGGUGUCUCGAAGUUGUGAAGGGUGCAAGGUAGAGUUAGGGGUUUGGCACAUAUGUUUCUCCAAACUGCAGCUAUUCCUGUCUCUAAAUAUGAAGGACUUUUUGAUCUCUAUGUGGAUGAACUCUCAGUCCUCAACAUGCUUUCAUAAUAAAAGUCCAGCAACAUUGGACCAGUCAGUCUCAUCAUGUCACUUUUUGAUGCUUGUUGUAACAUGUACUUAUUGUUACAUAAAAAACAUAUUUAUUAAACGCUGUGUGUACCUGUG